UACGUAGGGUGCAAGCGUUAAUCGGAAUUACUGGGCGUAAAGCGUGCGCAGGCGGUUUUGUAAGUCUGUCGUGAAAUCCCCGGGCUUAACCUGGGAAUUGCGAUGGAGACUGCAAGGUUAGAAUCUGGCAGAGGGGGGGUAGAAUUCCACGUGUAGCAGUGAAAUGCGUAGAGAUGUGGAGGAACACCGAUGGCGAAGGCAGCCCCCUGGGUCAAGAUUGACGCUCAUGCACGAAAGCGUGGGGAGCAAACAGG
rnacentral:rRNA from 1 species